UGUUGGUUGACUUCCGGUACUUGUUCGAAAGCUAGAGAUACAUUUUGUGGUCUUCUGUAGUACUUUCUGUUGCCAUCCUACACAAAGCGGCGAAGAAGCAAUGCCGUCUCUGGUUAUUCCAGUCGUGUGCAUGGCCCUCCUGUAACAACCUUGCGUGCGCACACAAACCGGCAAAGAUGAGAUGUAACAACUUGCACUGAGCCUGGUUUAUAAAAUCCGCUACACCUCUCUGAUACCAAAGUACAUGUCAAACUACUUCCAGAACGUAAAUGACCACCAUAAACACAACACCAGGGGGAGCUCCACAAACUCUGUUAAACCCAGAUUCCGAUCUAAGAAAUGUUUGUUUGAUCAGCCGUUUUACUGCCGUGUUGCAGGAAACUAUUGAGGUAUGUAAAUAAACGUUUACACAAUC